GUAUCAUGGCUCAGGAUGAACGCUAGCUACAGGCUUAACACAUGCAAGUCGAGGGGCAGCAUGAACUUAGCUUGCUAAGUUUGAUGGCGACCGGCGCACGGGUGAGUAACACGUAUCCAACCUGCCGAUGACUCGGGAUAGCCUUUCGAAAGAAAGGUUAAUACCCGAUGGCAUAGUUCUUCCGCAUGGUAGAACUAUUAAAGAAUUUCGGUCAUCGAUGGGAUGCGUUCCAUUAGGUUG
rnacentral:rRNA from 1 species